rnacentral:lncRNA from 1 species
GCAAUACUCUCAAGUUUUGCUGACGGAUAAGCCCCCACCAGCGUCGACCUGACUCACCACGACGGGCGGAUUCCACCCAAGUUCGGCGGUGGUCGACUUCACCUGCAGACUCCUACGAAAGCCAGACCUCGUCUCCGACUCCGGCUACGGGAAGACUCCGCCCGGACUCCUACGGGAGCCGGACUUCAUCCCCGACCUCGACUAAUGGUAAACUUCAUUCGGACUCCUACGGGAGCCGGACUUCGCCCAGACUCCUACGGGAGCCAGACCUCAUCUCCGACUCCAGCUACGGGAAGACUCCGCCCGGACUCCUACGGGAGCCGGACUUCAUCCCCGACCUCGACUAAUGGUAAACUUCAUCCGGACUCCUACGGGAGCCGGACUUCGCCCCUGACUCUAAUUGCAGGUANACUUCGCCCAGACUCCUAC